UGCCGCGUGCGUGAUGACGGUCUUCUGGAUUGUAAACUGUUUUUGUGCGAAAAAAAACACUCCUAUGUAUAGGAGCUUGACCGGAUCGUACCAAUAAAGAUCGGCUAACUCCAUGCCAGCCGCCGCGGUAAUACGGAGGAUCCGGGCGUUAUCCGGAAUCAAUGGGUUUAAAGGGUCCGUAGGCGGUUUAGUAAGUCAGUGGGGAAAGCCCAUCGCUCAACGGUGGAACGGCCAUUGAUACUGCUGAACUUGAAUUACUGGGGAGUAACUGUAAUAUGUUUUGUAGCGGAGAAAUGCUUAGAUAUUACAUGGAAUACCAAUUGCGAAGGCAGGUUACUACCAGUUGAUUGACGCUGAUGGACGAAAGCGUGGGGAGCGAACAGGAUUAGAUACCCUGGUAGUCCACGCCGUAAACGAUGGAUACUAGCUGUUGGGAGCAAUUUCAGUGGCUAAGCGAAAGUGAUAAGUAUCCCACCUGGGGAGUACGUUCGCAAGAAUGAAACUCAAAGGAAUUGACGGGGGCCCGCACAAGCGGUGGAGCAUGUGGUUUAAUACGAUGAUACGCGGAGGAACCUUACCAAGGCUUAAAUGUAGGAUUGACCGUU
rnacentral:rRNA from 1 species